GGUUAAGCGACUAAGCGUACACGGUGGAUGCCCUGGCAGUCAGAGGCGAUGAAGGACGUGCUAAUCUGCGAUAAGCGCCGGUAAGGUGAUAUGAACCGUUAUAACCGGCGAUUUCCGAAUGGGGAAACCCAGUGUGAUUCGUCACACUAUCAUUAACUGAAUCCAUAGGUUAAUGAGGCGAACCGGGGGAACUGAAACAUCUAAGUACCCCGAGGAAAAGAAAUCAACCGAGAUUCCCCCAGUAGCGGCGAGCGAACGGGGAGGAGCCCAGAGCCUGAAUCAGCAUGUGUGUUAGUGGAAGCGUCUGGAAAGGCGCGCGAUACAGGGUGACAGCCCCGUACACAAAAGCGCAUGUGCUGUGAGCUCGAUGAGUAGGGCGGGACACGUGGUAUCCUGUCUGAAUAUGGGGGGACCAUCCUCCAAGGCUAAAUACUCCUGACUGACCGAUAGUGAACCAGUACCGUGAGGGAAAGGCGAAAAGAACCCCGGCGAGGGGAGUGAAAAAGAACCUGAAACCGUGUACGUACAAGCAGUGGGAGCCCCACCACCAAAGCAUUCUCUGGUGUUGAAGGCCCUGCAAAGCAGCAUCGCGGUGGCGGAGCGUCGUUUGCGACGCCCAACACACAAAACAAGCGGUGAAUGCUUUGGGGUGGGGUGACUGCGUACCUUUUGUAUAAUGGGUCAGCGACUUAUAUUCUGUAGCAAGGUUAACCGAAUAGGGGAGCCGGAGGGAAACCGAGUCUUAAUUGGGCGUUAAGUUGCAGGGUAUAGACCCGAAACCCGGUGAUCUAGCCAUGGGCAGGUUGAAGGUUGGGUAACACUAACUGGAGGACCGAACCGACUAAUGUUGAAAAAUUAGCGGAUGACCUGUGGCUGGGGGUGAAAGGCCAAUCAAACCGGGAGAUAGCUGGUUCUCCCCGAAAGCUAUUUAGGUAGCGCCUCGUGAAUUCAUCUCCGGGGGUAGAGCACUGUUUCGGCUAGGGGGCCAUCCCGGCUUACCAACCCGAUGCAAACUGCGAAUACCGGAGAAUGUUAUCACGGGAGACACACGGCGGGUGCUAACGUCCGUCGUGAAGAGGGAAACAACCCAGACCGCCAGCUAAGGUCCCAAAGUCAUGGUUAAGUGGGAAACGAUGUGGGAAGGCCCAGACAGCCAGGAUGUUGGCUUAGAAGCAGCCAUCAUUUAAAGAAAGCGUAAUAGCUCACUGGUCGAGUCGGCCUGCGCGGAAGAUGUAACGGGGCUAAACCAU
rnacentral:rRNA from 1 species